rnacentral:rRNA from 1 species
UACGUAUGGUGCAAGCGUUAUCCGGAUUUACUGGGUGUAAAGGGAGCGUAGGCGGCGCGUUAAGUCUGAUGUGAAAACCCGAGGCUCAACCACGGGAGUGCAUUGGAAACUGGCGUGCUGGAGUGCCGGAGAGGUAAGCGGAAUUCCUAGUGUAGCGGUGAAAUGCGUAGAUAUUAGGAGGAACACCGGUGGCGAAGGCGGCUUACUGGACGGCAACUGACGCUGAGGCUCGAAAGCGUGGGGAGCAAACAGG